rnacentral:rRNA from 1 species
UACGUAGGGACCAAGCGUUGUUCGGAUUUACUGGGCGUAAAGGGCGCGUAGGCGGCAAUUCAAGUCAUCUGUGAAAUCUCCGGGCUUAACUCGGAAUGGUCAGGUGAUACUGCUUUGCUAGAGUGCAGAAGGGGCAAUCGGAAUUCUUGGUGUAGCGGUGAAAUGCGUAGAUAUCAAGAGGAACACCUGAGGUGAAGACGGGUUGCUGGGCUGACACUGACGCUGAGGCGCGAAGGCUAGGGGAGCAAACGGG